AAGUCGUAACAAGGUUUCCGUAGGUGAACCUGCGGAAGGAUCAUUAUCACGUAUAUCCACGUUAUAAACCCUUCUUUGAAUUGUUUUUAACAAUAAAUCUCUGGAACAGUCAUUCGUGACUGGAAUUGCUUCUGAAUUGGGUUAUGAAAGUAUUUUAACAAGACACUGUUCAUCCUUCACGGGAUGAAUUGAAAUGGGAAAAUUAUUGUAAUUUGAGAUCCCAGAGUACUGUUAUUAGUUCAUAACUAUCUAUUCGUUGGCGUCUAUGAGAUUUGUAACUCAAAUUACAUUUAUAGAAUUAACUAUUUUAACCCCUUUUGAUAAAUUGAACUAACGAUUCUCUACUCUAGCCCUAAAAAAGCCUGAGAUUGAAUAAAAUACGAAACAAAGAACAACUCUUAGCAACGGAUAUCUUGGUUCUCGUAACGAUGAAAAACGCAGC
rnacentral:misc_RNA from 1 species